GUGUCAGCCGCCGCGGUAAUACGUAGGGUGCGAGCGUUAAUCGGAAUUACUGGGCGUAAAGCGUGCGCAGGCGGUUAUACAAGCCAGGCGUGAAAUCCCCGGGCUUAACCUGGGAACGGCGCCUGUGACUGUAUAGCUAGAGUGUGUCAGAGGGGGGUAGAAUUCCACGUGUAGCAGUGAAAUGCGUAGAUAUGUGGAGGAAUACCAAUGGCGAAGGCAGCCCCCUGGGAUAACACUGACGCUCAUGCACGAAAGCGUGGGGAGCAAACAGGAUUAGAAACCCUGGUAGUCC
rnacentral:rRNA from 1 species